rnacentral:rRNA from 1 species
UAACCGGAUUAGAUACCCUGGGUAGUCCACGCCCUAAACGAUGUCAACUGGUUGUUGGGAGGGUUUCUUCUCAGUAACGUAGCUAACGCGUGAAGUUGACCGCCUGGGGAGUACGGCCGCAAGGUUGAAACUCAAAGGAAUUGACGGGGACCCGCACAAGCGGUGGAUGAUGUGGUUUAAUUCGAUGCAACGCGAAAAACCUUACCUACCCUUGACAUGUCAGGAAUUCUGCAGAGAUGCGGAAGUGCUCGAAAGAGAACCUGAACACAGGUGCUGCAUGGCCGUCGUCAGCUCGUGUCGUGAGAUGUUGGGUUAAGUCCCGCAACGAGCGCAACCCUUGUCAUUAGUUGCUACGAAAGGGCACUCUAAUGAGACUGCCGGUGACAAACCGGAGGAAGGUGGGGAUGACGUCAGGUCAUCAUGGCCCUUAUGGGUAGGGCUACACACGUCAUACAAUGGCCGGGACAGAGGGCUGCCAACCCGCGAGGGGGAGCUAAUCCCAGAAACCCGGUCGUAGUCCGGAUCGCAGUCUGCAGCUCGACUGCGUGAAGUCGGAAUCGCUAGUAAUCGCGGAUCAGCUUGCCGCGGUGAAUACGUUCCCGGGUCUUGUACACACCGCCCGUCACACCAUGGGAGCGGGUUCUGCCAGAAGUAGUUAGCCUAACCGCAAGGAGGGCGAUUACCACGGCAGGGUUCGUGACUGGGGUGAAGUCGUAACAAGGUAACCA